ensembl:lncRNA
CCUGUUCAUAAAUUUUUGCUUUAAUUAAUUUUUUCAUUUUGUAGUCAAAUGAGAUUCACCCAUAAACAUUGAUCGUCUCCUUAUGUUUCUCUUUUUCUCUGACAUUCGCACAUCCUUUGACAGAUCCAUGACAUUUGAAUGUCCUGAACUGAGAGCAGUCCGUUGUUUACUUGGUUGUAACUUUCUUGAAAAAAAUAAAUUUUCAUCUGUGAUUGCAGAUUUCAGGCGAGACCACUUGUAGGGCCUGAUUUCUCUCUUUCCACUUGACAUUUCUGAUGCUGAUGUGACAGCUGAGCGUGUGAACAUGAAUCCCUUAAAUGGAAAGCACAAAGUCUGAUGACUGUAGAGAAGUGACAGCGCUUUAUUGGGCAGAAGAUGGCAUUGCCGCUGAAUUCUCUUGCUGCUAGAAAGUGCAAAGCAUACACAUAUGCGAUCAGUCUUCUUCUCUGCCAGCAGCCUAGAUGGUUCUAUAUUAACAGAUUUAAUGCAUCAAUCCAUGUGUGGUCAGUUCACACUCUUGUGAAUUGCUUCUCUUGGUUUGCUGCCAGGACUGUGACACAGCAGGGGAGAUCUGAAUAUUUUCGGCAGACGAACAUCUGAAUCAUCAACAAUGUCUCAAAGACAUCCAAACAGAGUCGCCCAGAGCUGUUAUUGCACUCCCAACCCUGACAUCCCCCAAAGUUAACCGCAUAUCCUCUGAGCCUAGUUCCUUUUUAUAUGGCUAAUUUUCCAACGCAGGCUGGUCUUGAUCUGAAGUGUUGGAGAUAAAAGGUCUAAUUCUGUCACAUCUAGAAUGAGCUGCAUGGGAACAGACUGUGGAAAACACAGUAUUUUGGAUUAACUUUACUCAGGCCUCCCAAGCCCUUGCAGGAAUGACCUGGCAAACAGCUAAGGUUAGUUAAACUCCCAGAGGGAAUUGUGUCCUUCUCUGUUUGACAGUUGGGCUGCAUGAAUCAUAUUUACUCAUGAAUUUGUUUACUUUGUUUAACUGUGCCUGAUGUCUUUAGUGUGUGACUGGACCAGGGUCAGUGAGGAGUUAUUAGUGUCCAUUACACAUAUUACUGAACAAUUUGUGACAUAUGCAGAAGACAUCAUGUUUCAAGUUAAAACGUUGACAUGCGCUUGCUGUAAAUUUGUUUUAAAGUCUAAAAUGCCCUGCCACAGCAUGGAUUGGUAUAAUUAAUUCUGUCUGAUCUCAUGAGAAAAAAAUGGUUUGUACCUGCAGGUCCGUAUUUUGGGAAAACUUAUGCAUAGUCACGUCUAUCCUCAUGAGAUCGAGGUAAAUUAAUUGCA